AAGGGAGACCUAAUUCAGGUAGGAGACGAAAAAAAAGUAGUCGCUACCAAGAAUCAAUCCCAAAAGGUCGGAGCGAGGCGAAAUUGGCUUUCAAACUAGGUUCUGGGUUCACACAAGACCUGAAUCAGGAACAAGGGCUAUUAGCUCAGGUGGUUAGAGCGCACCCCUGAUAAGGGUGAGGUCCCUGGUUCGAGUCCAGGAUGGCCCACCUGUACAGGUGGCAAAAAGAAAGAAAAGAAGCGAGGAAUCAGCACCUUAUCUUACUGACAUAAUAAGAGAGAAUGCUGGCUCUGAGUAAAGAGUCCAGAGGAACCUUGAAAACUGCAUAGAGCUAGGUGAAAAAGCCAAAAAAGAAGACCGCAA
rnacentral:tRNA from 1 species